rnacentral:rRNA from 1 species
AUUGAACGCUAGCGGCAGGCCUAACACAUGCAAGUCGAACGAGUGGCGGACGGGUGAGUAAUGUCUGGGAAACUGCCCGAUGGAUGGGGAUAACUACUGGAAACGGUAGCUAAUACCGCAUACCAUCGGAUGUGCCCAGAUGGGAUUAGCUAGUAGGUGGGGUAACGGCUCACCUAGGCGACGAUCCCUAGCUGGUCUGAGAGGAUGACCAGCCACAGUGGAACUGAGACACGGUCCAGACUACUACGGGAGGCAGCAGUGGGGAAUAGUGCACAAUGGGCGAAAGCCUGAUGCAGCCAUGCCGCGUGUAUGAAGAAGGCCGUCGGGUUGUAAAGUACUUUGAGCGGGGAGGCGUUACCCGCAGAAGAAGCACCGGCUAACUCCGUGCCAGCAGCCGCGGUAAUUC